rnacentral:misc_RNA from 1 species
GAUGAAGAACGCAGUGAAAUGCGAUACGUAAUGUGAAUUGCAGAAUUCAGUGAAUCAUCGAGUCUUUGAACGCACAUUGCGCCCCCUGGUAUUCCGGGGGGCAUGCCUGUCCGAGCGUCAUUGCUGCCCUCAAGCACGGCUUGUGUGUUGGGCCUCCGUCCUCCUCCCGGGGGACGGGCCCGAAAGGCAGCGGCGGCACCGCGUCCGGUCCUCGAGCGUAUGGGGCUUCGUCACCCGCUCUUGUAGGCCCGGCCGGCGCUUGCCGACACAUCAAUCUUUUUUCCAGGUUGACCUCGGAUCAGGUAGGAAUACCCGCUGAACUUAAGCAUAUCAAUAAGCGGAGGA